CUCACAUACGAGCGGAACCGAAUAGAUGCCCACCUCCCAAUCCGCUUAAUCCGCUCGUCACCCAAACCUAGGCAUGCCGCCUCCGUCGCUGCCCCAAUUCGAAAAGAAUGUGUCCCGAACUGCCCUGGGUCCAGGCCCAACUUAAGUAGGCCCGAGCGAAAGCCCGAAGAAGGCCGAAGCAAACGCCCCGGAAAAUAACACCACCUCGUAGGUUGAGGAACAUAAGGUAGGUAGCGCCUCCACUAGCCCUUGCAGCACUGCAAAUGACAC